UCGAUCCAUAUGUUAGUAUGCAACGUAAACCAGACGUUUCCUAUACUUUUCUUUUUAAUAAAUUUUAACAGUUGGUUGUGUACUGAUUGAUACUUCAGUCUGGGAGAACAAGAUUUAUUUCAGAACUAGUUGCAACUAGCUUUGAACAAACUUCCAGUAAUUGCAAAUACUCUUUGUUCGAUGUUUUGAGUCUAUAGUCUUAAUGUUAGUUGGCCGGUUUCUUUUGAGUAUCUCGUACCGAUCUUUUCAGUUAAUCAAAUUGCAACUGAUUUGCACAGGUUGUUCUUAUAUUGUACUGCUACACUACUGUUUCAGCUUCGAGGAGGAUCGAGCGCUCACAAACUAGUUGUUGUACUGUUAAAUCACUGUCCCUGGAUAGGAAAUGGUUGGGAUCCCGCUACUAUGUUUAAUCCCGCCACAUUCUGUAUGUAUGUGCCUGUCCCAAGUCAGUAGCCUGUAAGUCAGUGACUUACAGGCUACUGACUUGGGACAGGAACUCGGUGGUUGCCGUUUGUUGCUGUGUUACUUCUUUGUUUUUCGUUCACUUUAUUUUAUACAUUAAUUAGGCCGUUAGUUUUCUCCUUUGAAUUGUUUUACAUUUGUGAUUUCGGGGCCUUUUAUAGCUCACUAUGUGGUAUUGGCUUUGCUUAUUGUUAAAAGCCGUAUGGUCAGGUGACCUAUGGCUGUUAAUUUUUGUAUCAUUUGGUCUCUUGUGAAGAGUUGUCUCAUUGGCAAUCAUACCACAUCUUCGUUUUUAUAUAAUCAACUUCUGCCAUAUUCUUUAUGAACCUGUCCCAAGUCAGGAGCAUGUAGUUUAGUGUUUGUCGUUGGUUCAUGUCUCAACUCAUAUUUGGUAUUUUUCAAAUUGUUUUGUUUUGUAUAAUUAGGCCGUAUUAGUUUUAUCGUUUGAAUUGUUUCACACUUUCAUGGCGUUUUAUAAACGGCUUUACAGUAUCGGUUUUUUUUUUAUUGUUGAAGUCCUUACGGUUUCCUAUUAUUGCUUUCAUCCACUACUUCAUAUUAUGAUAGUUGCGUCAUCAGCAAUCAGAUCACAUCUCUUCGUUUUUAUAUUAUAUACCCGACUUUUUCUCUCGUGUUUUCCUGAACAUGCAUGAAAUAUUUGUCACUGGGCGUUAAAAAUUAGCAUCAAUUUUGUGUUAAAUAAGAAAAAACCAUCUGAUAUUUAUUUAUUUGUUGGGAUGGGGGACAGGAGAUUUUCGUUUAUGAAUAUGGUUGCCUGGUAAGAGCAAAACAAAAAUAGGCAUGAUUAGCGACAAAUUAAAAUGAAUAAUGAUGUCCUCUUUCCUUCUUCAUUCCUCAUCUAUUGAUUUAAACUGACUACUAGCCCAAUCAUGAGUAUUGAAAUUAGCGUUAAUCACUAAUGAAAAUAUAAUAAAGAAAAUGUAAAAAAUUAAAAGUUCAAUAAAAUUGUAAAGUUUAAUAAAUAAAAGAAAAAUUGAAAUGAACUAGCAACCUCAAUCAGGCAUGCGCCGGAAAGUAAUCUUCAAAAUGUUGAUGGUUUUCUGUACCUAAAGAAGAAUCAAAAUCCCGUCUCUAGAAUUUCAAAGAGUUGUCCCUUAACUGUUACUGUCCGUGUAGUUCUUAUAUUCAUCCAGCUUAUCGUCCUACAGAUAUGUCCUACUAAGGCUGUCAUACCAUAAAAACGUUUAUAACAAAGCUCACAUUCUAGUAUAUCUUCAUUAAUUAAUUUAUGAAUGUCAUUUAGACUAAACGACGCCAUGUUUGUUUUGUGCCUCUGCUGUCUAAACCACCUAUUUAAAAAGAAGAGGUGGAAGAGAGCCAGAAGAUCUUCCCAAUGCAAAAAAAUAGAAAUGGACCUCUUCUGGCUCACUACCGAAGAACAAAAAAACACGCCC
rnacentral:lncRNA from 1 species